AUGGAAAAGUUACAUGAUGCUGGCAAAGUUCGCGUGAUUGUUGUGAGUAACUUCUCAUCAAAGAAGUUGGGUGACUUGCUUUCUGUAGCUCGUGUACCUCCUGCUGUUAAUCAGGUGGAAUGUCAUCCUGGUUGGCAGCAAACUAAGCUCCACAACUUUUGUCAGUCAACUGGAGUUCAUCUUAGUGCUUACUCACCACUAGGUUCACCUGGUAAUGUCCUCAAAGAACCAAUAAUCAUCUCAAUAGCUGAGAAACUCGGAAAGACAACUGGACAGGUGGCUCUGCUCUGGAACAUUCAGAUGGGUCACAGUGUACUACCAAAGAGCACAAAUCAAGAAAGGAUAAAGAAAAACCUGGAUGUUUACGAUUGCACAAUUCAAGAUGAUUGGACAAUUCAAGAGAUUAAGCAGGCUAGGCUGCUCAGAGGCGACUUCAUGAUUAACCCACAGAGCGUUUACAAGACCCACUAG
rnacentral:rRNA from 1 species